rnacentral:rRNA from 1 species
GAUGAACGCUGGCGGCGUGCCUAAUACAUGCAAGUCGAGCGAACAGAUGAGGAGCUUGCUCCUCUGACGUUAGCGGCGGACGGGUGAGUAACACGUGGAUAACCUACCUAUAAGACUGGGAUAACUUCGGGAAACCGGAGCUAAUACCGGAUAAUAUAUUGAACCGCAUGGUUCAAUAGUGAAAGACGGUUUUGCUGUCACUUAUAGAUGGAUCCGCGCCGCAUUAGCUAGUUGGUAAGGUAACGGCUUACCAAGGCAACGAUGCGUAGCCGACCUGAGAGGGUGAUCGGCCACACUGGAACUGAGACACGGUCCAGACUCCUACGGGAGGCAGCAGUAGGGAAUCUUCCGCAAUGGGCGAAAGCCUGACGGAGCAACGCCGCGUGAGUGAUGAAGGUCUUUGGAUCGUAAAACUCUGUUAUUAGGGAAGAACAAAUGUGUAAGUAACUAUGCACGUCUUGACGGUACCUAAUCAGAAAGCCACGGCUAACUACGU